GCCAGCUAUGUCACUAAAGUGC
rnacentral:siRNA from 1 species